rnacentral:rRNA from 1 species
AUACGAGAUUUGCGAAGUGACUGGAGUUCAGACGUGUGCUCUUCCGAUCUUUAGCGUAAGCGGGUAUGAACGAAGCAGAAGUGAGAAUGUCGGCUUGAGUAACGAAAAUAUAGGUGAGAAUCCUAUACCCCGAAAACCCAAGGUUUCCUCCGGAAGGCUCGUCCGCGGAGGGUAAGUCAGGACCUAAGGCGAGGCUGAAAAGCGUAGUCGAUGGACAACGGGUUAAUAUUCCCGUACCGUUUUUUAUUGAUAUCGAGGGACGGAGAAGGCUAAGCUAGCCGGAUAUUGGUUUUACCGGUUUAAGCGUUCGAGAUGUUGAGAAGCGGCGAAAACGCUUUGAGUUGAGACGUGAGUACGAGACGCUAAGGCGUUGAAGUAGUGGAUGUCAUACUUCCAAGAAAAGCUUGCACUGUCAUAAAUAAAAAAUGCCUGUACCAUAACCGACACAGGUGGGUAGGUAGAGUAUACUAAGGGGCGCGAGAUAACUCUCUCUAAGGAACUCGGCAAAAUAGCUCCGUAACUUCGGGAGAAGGAGUGCCUUUUUAUUAAGGUUGCAAUAACAAGAUCCAAGCAACUGUUUAUCAAAAACACAGGUCUCCGCUAAGUCGUAAGACGAUGUAUGGGGGCUGACGCCUGCCCAGUGCCAGAAGGUUAAAGAAGUUGGUUAGCAUCAGCGAAGCUGAUAACUGAAGCCCUGGUGAACGGCGGCCGUAACUAUAACGGUCCUAAGGUAGCGAAAUUCCUUGUCGGGUAAGUUCCGACCCGCACGAAAGGCGUAAUGAUUUGGAUGCUGUCUCAGAGAGGGGCUCGGUGAAAUAGACUUGUCUGUGAAGAUGCGGACUACCUGCACCAGGACAGAAAGACCCUAUGAAGCUUUACUGUAACUUGAAAUUGAAAUUGGACUUUAUCUGCGCAGUAUAGGUGGGAGGCAUUGAUAAUAUUCUUGCGGGAAUAUUGGAGCCAUCAGUGAGAUACCACUCUUAUAAUGUUAGAUUUCUCACUUUGUAUCAUUAUCUGGUCAAAGGACAGUUUCAGGCGGGCAGUUUGACUGGGGCGGUCGCCUCCUAAAUGGUAACGGAGGCGCACAAAGGUUUCCUCUGAACGGGUAGAAAUCGUAUCUAGAGUGUAAAGGCAAAAGGAAGCUUGACUGUGAGACUUACAAGUCGAGCAGGGACGAAAGUCGGUCUUAGUGAUCUGACGGUGCUGAGUGGAAAGGCCGUCACUCAACGGAUAAAAGUUACUCUAGGGAUAACAGGCUGAUCUCCCCCAAGAGUUCCUAUCGACGGGGAGGUUUGGCACCUCGAUGUCGGAGAUCGGAAGAGCACACGUCUGAACUCCAGUCACU